UAAAUAUACCGAUGAGAAAGCCAACUUAGCCCCCCCUUUAUUUAAACAGGUGAACAACUGGAGUUAAACCGCGCAAAAUAAGUUCACAAUGGAAAUGGAAAACAAUAUUCAAAGUCCACAGAGGCGUAAAGAAUUAAAGGGAAGGAUGAAAUUCGUUCAUAUGACAAAUUUCGUGCCCUACAAGGAUGCUUAUUAUCCCAGCAAAUAUCGGAAUGUAUUGACUGGACCCAAUGGCAGCGAAAAGUCUGCAAGCAAAAAGUCGCACCAAUAAUGACAGGACUGGGCGGCGAAUAACAAUUGUUCGACUACAUACAAAGCUGCGAGACUAGGGCUUUAAUUGUUGUUAAGAUCGUCGCGUAAUUUCUUCCGAUGGAUCAUUGUUUUUUUAUGUCCAGAAUGUGAAGCAGACAAAGAAAAACUUCCAGACCAAUGUGGCCUUUUGCAAUUUGCAGGGCGGCAAUGAGUGCCAGGACCAGGUUUACUCGGUAGAAAGAGAUGCGUUCCAAGCACAACAUUGCCCAUUCUGAUCGCGAAAAGGAUAAGAUAAACUUUCAGAAGAAACAACACCGCUUGAAACAAUUAAAGACGUACUUGGCUCUAUAUCAAGAGCGCGAGGAAAUAAAUCGAAAUCGGAACAUAUUGAAAGUAUAGAAAAUAUGGCUUGAGAAUCAAAGGAGCGCAGAAAAGGCUGAUAAAUAUAAGGAACAAUUUGCUGACAGGAAAG